GACGAACGCUGGCGGCGUGCCUAAUACAUGCAAGUCGAGCGCAGGAAAUCGACGGAACCCUUCGGGGGGAAGUCGACGGAAUGAGCGGCGGACGGGUGAGUAACACGUAAAGAACCUGCCCUCAGGUCUGGGAUAACCACGAGAAAUCGGGGCUAAUACCGGAUGGGUCAUCGGACCGCAUGGUCCGAGGAUGAAAGGCGCUUCGGCGUCGCCUGGGGAUGGCUUUGCGGUGCAUUAGCUAGUUGGUGGGGUAAUGGCCCACCAAGGCGACGGUGCAGAGCCGACCUGAGAGGGUGAUCGGCCACACUGGGACUGAGACACGGCCGAGACUCGACCGGGAGGCAGCAGCAGGGAAUCUUCCACAAUGGACGAAAGUCUGAUGGAGCAACGCCGCGUGAACGAUGAAGGCCUUCGGGUCGUAAAGUUCUGUUGUAAGGGAAGAACAAGUGCCGCAGGCAAUGGCGGCACCUUGACGGUACCUUGCGAGAAAGCCACGGCUAACUACGUGCCAGCAGCCGCCGUAA
rnacentral:rRNA from 1 species